rnacentral:rRNA from 1 species
GACGAACGCUGGCGGCGUGCCUAAUACAUGCAAGUCGAACGCACUCUCGUUUAGAUUGAAGGAGCUUGCUCCUGAUUGAUAAACAUUUGAGUGAGUGGCGGACGGGUGAGUAACACGUGGGUAACCUGCCCUAAAGUGGGGGAUAACAUUUGGAAACAGAUGCUAAUACCGCAUAAAACCUAAACACCGCAUGGUGUAGGGUUGAAAGAUGGUUUCGGCUAUCACUUUAGGAUGGACCCGCGGUGCAUUAGUUAGUUGGUGAGGUAAAGGCUCACCAAGACCGUGAUGCAUAGCCGACCUGAGAGGGUAAUCGGCCACACUGGGACUGAGACACGGCCCAGACUCCUACGGGAGGCAGCAGUAGGGAAUCUACCACAAUGGACGAAAGUCUGAUGGAGCAACGCCGCGUGAGUGAAGAAGGUUUUCGGAUCGUAAAACUCUGUUGUUGGAGAAGAAUGUAUCUGAUAGUAACUGAUCAGGUAGUGACGGUAUCCAACCAGAAAG